GCAAAUAACGUAUAUGAUGUCAACAUACGCAGUCAAUAGAAGGGGCGGGCUGUGGCUCAGGGCCAUCUCACCAGCCAAUCAGCAACAGCAACUGCGGGUGGGUGUGGUCUGUCCCGGAGGAGGAUGGAGAGCUUUAGCAGGUCCCCUGGAGACCUGCGCCCCAGGCGGGACCCUGGGGAUGAAGAAUUGUUUGGGCAGGCUCUGAACAGAAGAGCAUCACUUUAUUCACCCGUGACAUGGCGAUGGUCCCUCUUCCUAUUUUUCUCAUGGAGUAGGUGUAAAGAUGAGGUUUAUCCAAAUGUCUCCCCACCACUGCCUCAUGGACAGUGAUAAUGGCUUAAAUCACAGACGCCGGAGUCUGACCACCUGGUGAAGUCCCAGCUCUGUUCUUCAUCACAUGUGGCCUUCAGCAGCUGACUUGGCUUCCCCACCUGUAAAAUAGGACUAAAAGCAAUAGCUAGCUCAUUG
rnacentral:lncRNA from 1 species